rnacentral:tRNA from 1 species
GUGGCUAUGGUGUAACGGUUAACACUGCGGUUUGUGGUACCGUCAAUGAGGGUUCAAUUCCCUCUAGCCACC